UUCUUUCACCAGCCUGCAGUUUGGCAGGUUCCUCAAAGAGAAAUGCUCUUACGUUCAUUUAAAAGUCUAAGUAGGGACAGCACAAAUUAUUAGUGUUUGAAAUAUUUAUAAAGUCUCUUGUUUGCAAUGGCAUAGGAGGUGAUAGACCACAAAUAAAAGAAAACCGCAGAUGCACCACGCAUGUAGAGAGACGGAGAGGGGCAGGAAUGUUGUCUGCCUGCCGCCACCUCAUUUUUGAAGGCUGCUAAGCCAGGU
rnacentral:lncRNA from 1 species